AACCGGAUUAGAUACCCUGGUAGUCCACGCCCUAAACGAUGUCAACUAGUUGUCGGGUCUUAAUUGACUUGGUAACGCAGCUAACGCGUGAAGUUGACCGCCUGGGGAGUACGGUCGCAAGAUUAAAACUCAAAGGAAUUGACGGGGACCCGCACAAGCGGUGGAUGAUGUGGAUUAAUUCGAUGCAACGCGAAAAACCUUACCUACCCUUGACAUGUACGGAAGCCCCGAGAGAUCGGGGCGUGCUCGAAAGAGAGCCGUAACACAGGUGCUGCAUGGCUGUCGUCAGCUCGUGUCGUGAGAUGUUGGGUUAAGUCCCGCAACGAGCGCAACCCUUGUCAUUAGUUGCUACGAAAGGGCACUCUAGUGAGACUGCCGGUGACAAACCGGAGGAAGGUGGGGAUGACGUCAAGUCCUCAUGGCCCUUAUGGGUAGGGCUUCACACGUCAUACAAUGGUACAUACAGAGGGCCGCCAACCCGCGAGGGGGAGCUAAUCCCAGAAAGUGUAUCGUAGUCCGGAUUGCAGUCUGCAACUCGACUGCA
rnacentral:rRNA from 1 species